rnacentral:rRNA from 1 species
AUCUUCCGCAAUGGGCGAAAGCCUGACGGAGCAACGCCGCGUGAGUGAUGAAGGGUUUCGGCUCGUAAAACUCUGUUAUUAGUGAAGAACAAAUGUGUAAGUAACUGUGCACAUCUUGACGGUAACUAAUCAGAAAGCCAAGGCUAAAUACGUGCAAGCAGCCGCGGUAAUACGUAGGUUGCAAGCGUUAUCCGGAAUUAUUGGGCGUAAAGCGAGCGUAGGCGGUUUCUUAAGUCUGAUGUGAAAGCCCACGGCUCAACCGUGGAGGGUCAUUGUAAACUGGGAAACUUGAGUGCAGAAGAGGAAAGUGGAAUUCCAUGUGUAGCGGUGAAAUGCGCAGAGAUAUGGAGGAACACCAGUGGCGAAGGCGACUUUCUGGUCUGUAACUGACGCUGAUGUGCGAAAGCGUGGGGAUCAAACA